AGUAGUUAUCUCCAGAAUCCAACCUGGCAGGUAAUCUGAAGCAGCCAAUUUACGUUGUACUGAUUCAGUCAUCUGCUAUAGUGCUGAUUCUCUCGCUGUCCUUUCUGAACCUAAUAUGCUGUGUACACUCAAUUCCUGAUGUAAAAACUUGAGUCAGUGUCUUAUACAGGUCUUGGUAGAAAUAUCCUUUAUUAAGAUAUUUACAUACAGAUGUUCUGUUGAUUUGCCACAAGAAAAAGUUCUAAAGCCUCCGUUGAUAAUAAAAUCUCCAAACUGGAAAAACUCCAGCAUGCUUAGCAGUGCACAGAUUCCCAGCUGCAUGAUUAGUGUGCCGGAACAUGGUAAAUAACAUGCUGUGGGACAUAGCGAUGCAGUUUUAAGUUUCAUCAGUUACCAGUUUUGUUAUACAUGUUCCAUAUUACACUUGCACUUUACUAUGUUAUUACUAUUAUGUAGUUUUAAAAUUGUCUUAUUUGAGUUAUAACUCACUGAAAUCUUCUUCCUUCAAUUGUAUAUUUCAAUUUCCAAUUAAUAGAUUUACCAGAGUGUUUAAUGCUAAAAACUUUUUAUAAUGAAAGGUCUUACAUUUGUUAUAAAAAUCAGGGUGUCUGCCAUCUUUUGACUAAUCUUGCGGCGUAUUGUAACUCAACUGAUUCGGCGUACGAGUUAGCUGAAGGUGAUGAUUUUGGUAACGAGACAGAGAUGCUUGACUCACUAGACACAGAUAUGGAUCUUAGAACUGCUGUUUUUGGCAAGUGCACGCAUGAAUUUCAAUCUGAAGCACAUCCUGGAGAAAGUUCUUCAUUAACUUUUCCUGCACAAAAUCUCCUUUAUGGUUCUGCUGAAGGUAUAGUAGGUUCAUUGCAACAAUAACACAACUAUUUCAUGGCUCGAUGAAAAUUAUAACGAUGAAUGAACACUAUGCUGUAAAUAUAAGAAUUAUGAUUUAAUUCUUCAUGCAAUAGAAGUUUUGCCUUGUAAUACUACCAUCUUUCUAGUGAGUGUAUUUCUAACUGUUAUUUGCACUGGACAAGAGGGAAGCAGGGUGGUACAGAGGGAGGGAGGGAGGGAGGGAGGAAAGGUUAAAAGGAAGGUUAAGGUACGAGGGAUGGAGGGAGGGAGGGAGAGAGGGAGGAGGGGAAAGGUACCAAUAAGUAAAACUGUUACCUACAGGUUUUGUCCACUCCCUUAUGCUGUUGUGAUAUGUUUGUACAGAUUUCUUUCGAGGCUGCUUUGAGUGCACACUGCUUUAACUACAAUUCUACCCAAAUCACUUGUAUGGUGUUGAUAAUACAUACAGUAUACUGAUGUGCAAACUUGGCAGAGACUGUUAGCCAGCUGUCUGCUUUAGGCAUUAAAGACGUAAGCUGUGUAAAAUAACAAUUCUGAAACAUCAUUGUCUAAGUGGAGCAUCUCUUACACUUAUUCUGCAUUUGAUUUAAUGAGUAAAUCAUUUCUUCAAUAGCUUACUGAAAUGAUCUUGAAAAUUGAUUUAAUUUACUUAGAUACCUUGCCUCUAGUUGCUUAUUUUACGUAGAUAAUGAUCCAUCAUGGAAAAUUGUACUUGAAAUACAUAUUUGCCUACAUAAAUAAUGGUUAGAAUGUUCUCACACUAACUAAUUUGCUUUAUUGCUAGAUAAUUAUUUAAGAGAAGAGGAUAAUAUAGGCGUAUUACGAUCAAAGUGGCAAGUAGAAGGAUACCUCAAUAUGCAAGCUGAUUAUCUUGAGAAGUAAGUUAAGUUCAAUACUUUCCUAGUGAAUACAUACCGUUGAUCAUGUAGUGACAUGUAUUCUGUACAGGGAUGCCAGUUCAUUUCCUUUGAAUUCAUUUAAUGCUGUUCUAACGCAGCUUCAAAAGUUAGCUCCAGAGUUUCACCGUGUAAGUUGCAGGACUGGACAAGGAUACUAUGCUUCCUUUCCAUCUCAAUUUUUUUGUAAACAUUUAUGCCUUUCGAUUAUUGAUUGGGUGCAUCAUACAUUGCUAGUUUUAUGUAGUGUAGUCUAUUUGAUUGUCCUGCAGGCUCGAUACUUGCAGUACCUGAAUGCUCUUCACCAUGAUGAUUAUGUUGCUGCACUGGACAACCUUCAUGGCUAUUUUGACUGCAGGUAUGGUCUCGCAUUUAUAAGGCACAAUAGUAAUGUUAAGGUGGGUUUUGCCUUUCGUCUAUGUCAUUAUUCUAAACUCUAAAAGUACCAUUGGCAUAGCAUAUAUGACAUCCUCUUUAUUUUAUUGACGAUGAAGGUUUGUUUAUGUUCUAUAGCUUUGUGUUCUAGUCGAUUCUUAUUAUUCCUAAAUUUCUAGCUUUUGUCAAAAUAACAUACUUGCAACAUAGUUGGGACGCAUUUAAAGAUGACCAUGUCUAUAAUAUCUGUUUUGUAGAAAUAGAACUUCUAUAAUUAAAAUAAAUGUAAAUAGCUGUUGCUAUAUAUUUUUGUAGCAAGUCCUUUGUCCUGUUCUAAUAUCAAUGAUUGGUAAUUGUUAAAUAUUUGAAACAUUUGAAGUGUCCAUAUUCCAGUGAAGAAAUUCAUACAAUAUCAAUUGUUUGCUUCGUUAGAGACUUUAAGAGUAUUAUCAAAGCUGGUAAGAGUGGAUGCUCGCAGUUGAUGAUUUCUAACAGUAUUAGACUGCAAUGAAAAUUUUUAAAGGUUACCGCAAACUAAAUAUUUGAACAGUUUGUAAUCAGUGAGAAAGUCAUAGAUUUGUUCAUAGUAAAUUAAUACCUUUCCACAAAACUAGCAUUAGAGAGCCUAUCUUAUGUAUUAUAUAACCAAAGAAUCUCUUGGUUGUUAUGCUAUUCAAAAAAUGUUGAAAUGGAUGGCUUUGGCACAUUGGAAAUCCAAUAUGAUUAUUGAAGUUAUUCAUACACUAGAGAAUUCCAAUGUGAGAUAUUACCGAGCAUGGGAAACCUGCUCAUUUAUGAAGUGAAAAUUAUGCUUAACCUCUUUCAACAGAAAUAAGUUCUGUUGAUCAAAACACAAUUCGUAAUGGCAUUAGAUGCAUAACUAGAAUUAAUUGGAAGCACGGCCUUUUAAAGAAAGUAUACAACUUGAACAGAGAUGCAAAAUACCAAACCACUUGAUUAAGAGUACCUUGCUUCAGUGCUGCAGCCUACACAGGCAACACCUACUCUGCAGGAAAGAGAUGAAUCUCUAUCUAUAUGCACUUUCUCAAAUACAGUAGGUAGUAUUUGAAUACUGCAUGAUUAACUAACUAAUGGUUUUUGUUGAAAAUGAAAAACUCCCACUAAAUCCUUUCCAUUGUUCAACUAUUUUUAUUUCUAACUUUAUUCCUUGGAUUCCUAUAGUGCAGGGAUGGAGGGGCUUUUUACUCGUUCAUCUUCUCCUCGCUCUGAUAUUCUUGUUGGAAGAUAUGAGACUGCUUUACUAUGCUUAGGCACCAUGCACUCUCAUUUUGGGCACUCUAAGAAAGCCUUAGAGGUGAUUUGUGUGUGGAAAUUUUUCUUGCUGCUCUCUCUCUCUGUGCGCGCGCGUGCGCGUGUUCUCUAGAUUUUGAUCAUUUUUUUGCAUUUGCUUUGUUUAUGCGUUCGUUGUGUGCAGACAUGCGUGUGUGCGUGUUCUUUGGAUUUUGAGCAUUUUUCAUGCAUUUGAUUUGUUUUAACUUAUUCUUGCUUUUUUGAACUCCAGGCUCUAACUGAGGCAGUACGUGUUUCUCAACAGGUAAUUUAUCAAUGCUUGGUUAAUCUGGUUUUGGCAUAGUUUAUUGGAUUUAUUCAUGCAGGCAUUCACUGUUAGGAGUUUUACACUGCAAGAUACUUUAUAGCAUCUUUUUUGUAUCAUCUGUAGUCUCUGUUACUGGUUAUGUAAAAUGAAGUCAAUAUAUGAACCUGGUGUCAAUAUUUGGUUAUGUAUGAGCCAUGACUUUUGCCGUAGUGGAGCAAUAAAGGAAGAUCUGAGUAUGAAGUCUAUGCUUGUUCCUGUCGUACGUAUCCUCUACGUUUCUAGUUUGGUGUAGUCAUCUGAUCCUCUCUGGAACUUUCAGACUCAAAUUGGAAGCUAAUUUUAGUCCAAAGUCUUAAGGGUGCCACAUACCCCCUAUAGGAAAUCUGCAAUCCUUUAUAGGCUAUUGGUUGGCCUCUCAUUGACAAGAUAAGCCUCCAGAACAUAGCUGAAUAUAGCUGCCUCUUUCAUUUACGAGGUAUUGAACACCAAGUCUUUUGAUCUUAUCACUUAUAUUGGAUAAAAUUUUGGGUUUUGGCUCUUUUGUAGCCUUUGGUUUUUGGUUGAAAUGGACUUGAGUUUCAAACUGUACAAUAGCGUCAAAAGCUAUCAUUUACAAAAUGAUGAUUUUAACGUGGGAUGCCAACCUGGUUGGAUUUGGGGCGAGUUUUCAAAAAAUCCAAAUCCAAACCUGACAACCAAAACCUAAACCUGAAUUUGAACCCGACAGAUUUUGCAAAUCCAUAUUCAAGACCAAACCCGGCCAAAAACCUGAAACCCGAAAUAAUUUAUUUCUCUUUACCAUAUUUCAAAGUAUAUAAUAUUAAAAUUUAAAAUUUCAAAGUACAAAUUCAAAUAUAAAUCAAAUAUUCAUAUUUAUUAUAUCAUGAAAAAUCUAUUUGGAUUGGUGUCAGGUACAGACAAAAUCCAUGCCUCUUCGGGUUUGGAUAAAAUUUCGGAUAUCCAUACCCAUUGACACCCCUAAUUUUAACUUUUAUAUGUAUCAUCUUUGUUGCUCAUGUGUAAUGUAUACUAAAUUAUAAGUGGUACUUGUGAAGUUGCUUAACGAGGUUGUGCUCUGGAUUGAUAAUUCAAUCCCCAUUGCAAUAUCUUGAAUAUGCUUCUGUACUUACACUUUCUGGACAGUAUUCUCCCACUCAUGAAACACAAUUGUUGCAUUUUGGUGAAAAUUAUCUUAUGGCCAUACUUAAAGAUUUUGUUUUGUUUAUGAGAUUGCAGCUCUGACUGUGCCACUUCUUUUGCAGAACAAUGAUGAUUCGUGCCUUGCCUUUACACUAGCUGCUAUUUGCAAUCUAUUAUCUGAGAUUGGCAUUUCAAGCAGAAUUGAGAUAAUUGGUUCUCCUUUUUCUCUUGGGACUAGUACUGGUCUCGGUACACCAUUGUCCACCCAGCAGCAAUUACUAGUUCUUUUGAAACGGUCACUCAAGAGGGCUGAUAGCCAGAAACUAACAAGUCUAUUGGCCUUUAACCAUCUUGCUCUUGCAAAAUUUGAUCUAAAGGUAAAUUUAUAGAAACUGCUUAUAAAUUUCUGUCUUUGGUGAUAUGAUAGUAACUUCGGUAGUAAGUUUACAAUUUACAUACACUUCAUCUUAUCAAUCAGUAUGAUUGGUAUGAUGAGAAGCACAAAUUGGACUCAUGGAUUUUAUGGGGUUACAGCUGAUCAAGUUGUAGCUUGAUUAAAAUCCAUAGGAAAGAAAGAUUUUGUCAAAAGUGUUUGUUCUCAAUUAUCAAGAGUUUGAUACUCAGGUGAGCAGGUGUACUGUUGUAGUUAAUAUGCGUUGUUACUGUUCCAACUGGUUCAUCUUUUCUUUUUUCCAAAUCAUGUAGUUAUUUGACUUUUCCUCCUUUCUGCAUAUGUUGGCUUCUCAGCACGUUAAAAGACCAUUGCUGUCUUUUGGUCCGAAAGCUUCCACAAAGCUUAGAACAUGCCCCAUUGAAGUUUGCAAGGUACAUGGGUAAAUCUCUUUGGCUUAUGCUUCUAGGUUAAUGAUAAAUAGAGGGUAUCUUCAGAUUUUGAAGUAGUUAUUACUUUUGAUGUGUUCAUCUUGCAGGAGCUACGGCUUAGUUCUCAUGUGCUGACUGAAUUUGGAUCAGAUGGCUUAUCAUUGUUAAGUGAUAAUGGUGUUUUUAGCACCUCAUGGACUAAGAAUCUUGCAGCUGUUAAUAAUUUGUGGCUUGCAGACGCAAUAAAGUCAAAAUGUUCAUCCGUAAAUGAUUUUGACAUAUUCCAGUUUCUUGCACAGCCAAGUCCUGUACCUAGGUCUGUUCUACAAUUAGCUGGUUCAUCGUAUUUGUUAAGAGCUACUGCUUGGGAACAUUAUGGAAGGUACAUUCCUGUUCUCAAAAUAAUAUUAUCGUGAUUGGCUCACAUAUGGCAUCCGUUGUUUUAACUAUCUCAUCAAUUAAAAUCUUUUGUUAUUACAUAUAUUGGUAAAUUUUGUUAGGGAUCUCUCUUCUCAUGGGAGAUAUGACUCAUGUUGGUGCCAUACUAUAUUAGCUGAUCCUUUGGUGCCUAUUUUACAUAAUCCAAUAAUACCAUAGAUUUUCACUUGUCUUCCUUUUCUUUCUCCCUCUUCAGUGCCCCACUGGUUCGAAUGAAUGCGUUGGUUUAUGCAACCUGCUUUGCCGAUGCUGCAAGGUAAAAAGAUGCUGACCUGUUUUUCAAUUGUUUCUGAACAGUUUUACACCUUUACUAUUAUUCUGCUUUGUUCUCAUUGAAGUCAUCCAAGUGAUUUGGAUGUUUAGGAUGAAAAUGACAUUGUUUUGGUGUUACAGUUCAUCAGAGUUGUCACUAGCGUAUAUGAAACUAAUUCAACAAUUGGCAUGUUUCAAAGGAUAUUCAGGUCAGUUAGUAUGUGAUUAACGUAAUUUUUGCAAUAUGCAUUUUUUCGUCUCCCUGACCUGUAUUAUUACUGUUCUGCAACUGCUCUGCGUGGUAGUUUUCUGCAUGAGUCUUGAGACUUGCAUCAAUAUUUUUUCCUCUACUAGAAAAUGAUGGACUAAAAUGAAACACUUUCAAGAGUUUACGAUCUCAAAUUUUUUUUUUUUUUUUUUUUUUUUUUGAGAGAUAGGUAGCACGCUACCCGCUUCGUUUAUUUCAUCUAGAAAUAAACUAAGCUGGAAAUGUGAAUCAACUAGGAUUCGAACUUGGGACCUCGGGUACCAACCACCAAGCCCUUUGCCACUUGCUCUAGGGACGGUCGGUUAUGAUCUCAAAUAUUGAACUUGAAAAUUUGAGGGCUGAAAUGGAACUUGCUAAAAUUUUAGGGAUUAGUGCAAUUUAUUGUAUAAUUAAUCAUAUAACAUGAAAUGCUUUUCUUUCCCCCUUUCUGCAGAAGCAUUUGGUGCUCUCAAGCUUGCCGAAGAAAAGUUCCCAUCUGUAUCAAAAUCACGCAUCCAGCUACUUAAGCUACAGUUGCUUCAUGAGCGUUCGUUACAUCGGUAUGGUUGUUGAAGCUUUUAUUUGGCUUAUUGAUUACUUCCAAAUUUGCCAUUAUACACUAAAUUGAGUCUAAUCCAGAGGACAUCUGAAAUUUGCUCAACAAGUUUGCGAUGAGUUUGGUGUUUUGGCAUCAUGUGUUAGUGGGGUAGAUAUGGAGCUGAAAACAGAGGCUAGUCUUCGCCAUGCUCGAACUCUACUAGCCUCUAACCAGUUUAGCCAGGUUCAACAUUUAUUUCCUUGUCAACUUUGUCUGGGACCCUGCUUUUUUCUAUUCACAAUUGCAAAACUGACAAGAAUGUCUUACCCUUAUCCUCAUGAGUGAUUUUAUUUACCAGUGUAAAUCUAGUUAAUUUCUUACAAGGGAAAUUUAAUUUCCAGGCAGCAGCUGUGGCUAAUUCUCUUUUCUGCACAUGCUACAAGUACAACAUGCAGGUUGAGAAUGCUACUGUUCUUCUAUUACUUGCUGAAAUACACAAGGUAAGAGAAAAUGGUCAUUGACGCUCUCUUUCUUCCUUCCAUCCGUCCUUUCUUUCUUUCUUGUAUUCUUUUUUCAUUUUUUUUAUGAGCUAAUGGGGAGUAUGAACUCCCUACCCAAAGCCUCCCUCUGCCUUGACAUUGUGGUACGAGCUGCUUGCCUAGCUGUUAAAUGUUGUUGCCAAUUUUGUUUCAUGAUGUCAUUAUUGUUAUUUUUAAAUUUUUUCCAUAGAAAUCAGGCAAUACUGUUCUUGGGCUGCCUUAUGCCUUAGCAAGUCUGUCAUUCUGCAAAUCGUUCAACUUCAAUCUACUCGAAGCUUCUGCUACCCUGACACUUGCUGAAUUAUGGUUAUCUCUUGGACCGAGCCAUGCAAGGAGAGCCUUGAGUCUUGUGCAUCGAACUCUUCCAAUGAUUCUUGGUCAUGGUGGACUAGAGCUGCGUGCUAGAGCCAAUAUUGCUGUAGCAAAGUGCCAUUUAUCAGAUCCAAUGUUUUCAAGUAUAUAUCCUCUUUUCCUUUUAGGUAGUGUCUAUGACCAUUGUACCGUAUUUCCACAUUUCGUGAUAUUCUAACCUUUUCUUCCCCCAGUUUUUAAAGAUCCCUCUAUUGUGCUGGAUCCUCUAAGUCAAGCAGCUGAAGAACUGCAAAUCUUAGAGGUGAGUGACCCUUGGCUGCUUCAAGCUUUGGAUGAGAUUCUUUCUUGUUUUUUUAGUGAGUUGUGACUGCCAUGAGACGGUAGUAGCUCAAUUGCUAAAUAGUAAAACUAAAUUUCCGUUUUCUAUGUAGUAUCACGAAAUGGCGGCAGAAGCAUUCUAUUUAAUGGCUAUGGUGUACAGUAAAAUUGGAAUGCUAGGCAAAAGAGAGGAAGCUGCAGCAUCUUUCAAGAAGCAUGUUUGUGCUCUUGAAAACCCAAGGGAUGAAGAAGACUCACUUGCGUACAUGUUUUGAGAAGACCAUGCAUUAUUUAUGUUCCAUAUAUUAUUUUAUUUGGUGCAUAUUAAUUCUGUGCUCUUAAAUGGCCUAGAAAUCAGCAAUAGCCAUUAACCCUAGAGGUAAAAUUGCUGCUGCUCCCCUUUCUGUGCUCUUAAUUUUUGGAUACAUGGAUACAUGUUACGUAUGCUAUCUUUUGCAGCUGAGCUAAUGAUUUUUGGUACUUGUGGUUGUGGAUAGGUUGCAGCAAGUGAGAUGCAAUUGGUAUGGUUCCACUGCACUUUCAUGUGUGACAGCAUUUCCUCGCUGCGCCUGUAAGUUUCAAUUUUCUUGAAGUCAUUUUCUAACUAUACUUCUAAUUAAUUAUGUUGUUUGUAUAUUAUUUUGCAAUAGUCCUGCCUUUUUUUUCCCCACUUUAGCGAAUCCUAAACCACAGAGAGAAACAUCAACAGAAAAUGUGAUGGGACAGUCUACAUACUAAUAAUUAGACAAAAACUUGAUCAUUCGAAUUAUGGAGAAGAAACAUGAAGAUCAGCAAUAAACAAUGUCCAAACUAAAUAUAGAAGAGAACAUGUGGAGAAUUACAUGAUACAACUCCCAACCUAAUUACAACCCUUCGAACGCAAACAAAUCAAAGCCCCAAUGCCAAAAGAAAAGAAAAGAAAAGAAAAGUAAAUAUAGAACUAGAACAUAUAAAACCGUAGGGAAAAUCUAUCACCAAACCUCUCAAUUUCUCUGCACCCAAGCUCCAAACCUUUAAUCUAAGCUUAAGGAGAACAUCCACAGCUUCGGCAGCUUUUAGCUUCAAUCCGACAACUUUGCAUCUGCAGACUGGGUGCACAGGGAAUUUUUUAUAACCAUGCCAUUUGACCAUCCGCCUAAGAAUAGGAUUGAUCUUGGAGGAUUUGUUAGAUUUAUAAUUAUCUCAAUUAGAAUUUGAAUUAAUUUAAACUCUAUCAGUAAGAUUGGGUACAUUCUUAGCCGAGCUUGUACGGCUGAUUAGUGAGGACGUGUGUGGUUUGUUGGCGGCCAUAGAUUUUUGGAUGUAUGUAAAGAAAUCCCCAGCUUUUGUACCGCUGAAUCAGCUGAGAUUAAAAAUUCCGCUCAAAGUCAAAAUUUUCAGUUGGAUCCUACUGCGCAAAAGAUUACUUACUGCCGACAGGUUGAUUCGCCGAGGGUGCCUUGUGGAUCAGCAUUGUAUUUUUUGUGCGGUGUUUUCAGAAAGCUGCGACCAUCUUUUCCGUGAUUGUGUUUUCGUCAAAUUCCUCUUAAUUAGUGUGGGAGGCCCUGUUGUAGGUGAACCGCACUCCGGGGAUGUUCGGUGUUUAUGGAAUGAGACAUUGAGCAUCCCUACUACCGUGUUAAGAUCUAAAUGCUUAACCCGUUUAGUGGCAAGCUGGUGGGUUGUCUGGACCGAGCGCAAUAACACUAUCUUUCGUGAGAUACCUCCCAAUGCUUCUAGGGCUCUUGAACGCGUUGUUGCAUUGACGAAAGAUUGGUUAGAUGUUCCUUGAGUCUUCUCUCGGCCGUCCUGCUCGCUCCGUCCUGCUUGCUCCUUCCUUUGUCUUUUUUUCCUUUUUUCUUAGCUCUUUGCCCGUCUACAUCGGCUUGACGGUGUGUGUAGGGGUGUUUACUACUGGUUUUUGGGUUUGGUUUUUGGUUUUAGUUUUUUCUUGUCGGUUUUUUUAGGAGGCUCUAGCUGUCUCCAACUUGUAAGCUUAGUUCAUCCUACCUAAUGAAUGAAGCAGGUAGCGUGCUACAUUUUUCUCAAAAAAAAAAAGAAUCAGCUGAGAUUUUAUUCUCAAUAGCACAUCUAAGGAAAAGGGAAUCGGGGAAUGCCAGAGACAUUCGAAAGGAAACUGAAGGUCUCUAGGAUGAUGAAGAGAAGACCAGACAGGGAAUAUUGAAAAAUCGCCUUUAGAAGUGUGAAUCCAAACAAGAUUGUCCGCCUGCUCUGGCUGUUUAAUCGUGGGACCGUCGAAGGAUUUCUGCUACUACAUCAGGUAGGUGGGUAUACUUAGGUCUCUUCGAGCUUUUGCUGAAGAGAUGGAUUUAUAAUAACAAUGCAAUUUAAUGCUUCUACUGUGAAAUAGUAACAAUAGGUAUGAAGAGAUGGAUUUAUAAUUAAAAAACAAUUUAAUGCUUCUAUUAUGAAAUAGUAACAAUACGGUAUCAACGAUUAGCAUUAGAGCCCGUUGCUGAUUCUUAACCGGAAAUCCAUUCUUAUUCAUCCUAGGGGUGGAAUGAGGGAAAGGUUGAAGAGGAAGGCAAAUGUUUCCUACCUAAGCAAAUUAUGCAAAAAGAGGUAGUACAACCCAGCAAAAAUUCUUGAGAUUUCACAAAUAAAACACCCUAAAAUAUAACAAAAAGCUAUUCACGAGAACUUAUCGGGGCAGUCGAUCUCCAACCACAUAGUUGUGUUGUUCUCUGGCUUUUAGACAUUAUUAAAUCCUUCCUUCUGAUAAUGAGCGGGAGGUGUCGAUACCAUAGCAGCUGAUGGUGGCACCGGAGUGCUGUAGACUUGCGAGCGCACUUCGGCGUACAUCUCCUCCCUUCCCUUCGCCUUACCGAGGAAGUAGCACCCGAAGCCAAGCAAGAUGGCUAAGAGAAUAAGAGGAAGAGAGAAAACAACAACAAAUCCCAUCACCUUUUGUUCUCUACGUAUGAGAAACAAUUGUUUUAGUUGAACAAGGAAAGAUCUCUAGAACCAGCUGCGAGGAGAAGUGGAGGUUUCAAAGGUAGUUUUCAUAUUAACACGCAAACAUGCAUAUAAACAGACGAAAUACAGAAGGAACCUUCGUUAGAACGGUCCAGAAGGAUGUUGUCCAGGUCGACUCUCUUAGGCCUGCAUGGCUCUGAUUGACCGUGCGGCUUUACUGAACUUGUUGCCACCUGGCAUGCUCCUCCAUGUUGACUUACCUUUUUAGUAACAGUUCAAUUUGGAUUUAAUUGCUCUAUGUGAUUAUUGGACCUAUUGCGACUAAACGGCAACAUUGAAAUUGCAACAAUUUUUAAUAUAGGGUGAUUAUUGACAUAGAGAAGUGCAUGCUUAGGUGAGUGCAGUAGGUGUUAACAGCCUAGUAGGCCCAGCCCUCUAGUACCCACUGUAACCCAUCAAUUGUAGAAAGUUGUUGGGCCGAGAUGUUGUUAAAUUAGUGUGGGCCAAGUACAGCCCAAUUUAAUUCGGAAUUCUUUUUCCCCUUUUUUUUUGAGAAAUAGGUAGCACGCUAUUCGCUUCGUUUAAUUUAUUUAGAAAUAAAUUUAGCUAAAAAUAUAAAUCAACUAGUAUUCAAUUUUGAGAUUUUUGAUAUCAACCACCAAGUUCUUUGCUACUUACGCUAGGGGCGGUCGAUUCAAUUGCAGAUUCAUAUAGGUAGAACUUACUCACCUUAAGCUCGGGCCUAGACAUAAGUGGGCCUUAGCCCGGUCUGUUGACACUCGUUCGAAACGGUGUUGGCAUGAAUUGAUUUGUCAAGCACUCCGAAACUCUUAUUAGAUGAGCCCAGUUCACCUGAAGGGUACACAAAUAAAAUAAAAUAAAAUUGAGUGCCCAAGCCCAUCCGUUGGUCACUUUUUAGAUAAGAGUUAGUCAUAAAAUAGCGGUGGCAAUCGCUGAACGAAUUUUGAAUUGUGGUUUCAUACGUUCCAGAGUUCAGCAUCUCUAUGAAGGUCUAUGACUCAAUGUGAACAUGAACACGAUUGUCAUUCAGAUUGCAACUCAAGAGUCAGGAAAUUGGAUAAAUAUUUGUGGAUAUUUAUUGGUGGUUGAGUCAAUAAGUUGACUUACUAGGUGGGAUCUGGUGAAGCCUCCUCGACCUUUUGAGUACGUAAGGUUUGGUGUGGGUCUAAACUGGUCGUGUUUUUCCCACUGACCUGAUGGGUCUAGUUUGGAUUGAGCCUUAUCAAAAUCCUUAGUUACGGGAACGCUUCUAGUUUUCGAUCAGCUGCUUAUGAUCUUUAUUAUCUUAAUUCGAACAAGUUCUGCACCCAGCAUCUAGUAAUGCUGCAGAGGGCUCCUUAAACUUAUGCUCGGUUCAAUUAACUCCGAGUCUCAGACAUUUUCAUUUGUUCGUAAACCUUUUCUUCUAUAGAAGAAUCACAUUACAAAAUGGGCUGUUAAGUAUUUUUGGUUCCAAAAGUACUUUUGGGGUUUCAGAGCGUAUCAUCAAGCAGGCACUAUAAAAGCCGGUAAAUGGAGAACUUGUAUCCCGUUAACAUAUUUGGCUUCCGAAGAGUACUAGAGGAAUAGAGUUGUUCUUGGAAGGACAAAUACAUUAGAACUUCCGUCAAAUGUUCUUAGAAGGAAUAGAGUAAUUUAUUUAAUUUUUUUUUUUGAGAGAUAGGUAGCACGCUACUCGCUUCGUUUUUUUAUUUAGAAAUAAACUUAGCUGGAAAUAUGAAUCAACUAGGAUUCGAUGGGACUUCGGAUACCAAUCAUCAAGUCUUCUGUCACUUGUCUUAGGGACGGUCGGUGAAUAGAGUAAUUUAUUAAGUUAACAAAUUAGCUAAGGAACCAGUCGCUUGGUUUGACGAAUCUUUAUGCUAGUACAAAAUUCGGUUCCGUUGAUAUUACUAAGGAAUAAGAAAAAUUAUUUCAGCAGAUUUACUUCUAUAGAUUUAUUAUUAUUAUUAUUAUUAUUAUUAUCAGUUUAUAUCUCAGUUUUUUUGUGACUUCGACUUUGUUUGGGAUUGCGGGAAGGUUGCGUUACGUGCGGUGAGAAACGACGAUGAAAAAAUAUUCUGUUUAUUUUCGUACGUAAUAUUGCGUUCCGCAUAUUGCGGUUAGUCAGUUACGAUAUAUUUUCUACGGUCCUAUAGGAGAACGCAGAAACAUAUUUCUAUAUAUAUUUUUCUCACCUCCAUUCUAUCUAAUAGCGUUAGGUUCAUCUCAAUACUAUACUAAGUCUUAGUAUAUAUUUUAUUAUUAUUGCUAUUUUACUAAACUAUAAAAUAAUUCUAAUUAAUUAUUAAUCUUAUAAGAAGUGUACACAGUAUUUUCUUUGCUUCAGCUAAUUAAGGGCAUUUAAGCAUGCCAUCGAAUGGUAAGGAUAGUUGAGCUACAGUAGUGGCGGACGUUUCUAGUCUCCCACCUCAAAGCUUCGAGUCUCUCGAAAACGAGAAGUUCUACACUGUCACGCCUGCUCCACGUCAUCAAUAAUAAAUUAAUUAUAUUUCUUUUUUUUAAAUAAAAGUAUAAUAAAAAUAUUUUUUUACAAUCAUGAUAGAACAUAUAUCUUUAAAAUGAGUUAUUUGAUUGAUUUGUGACGCCACGUCACUAAUAUAUCCGAUGUAUUCUAAAAUUUUUUCUCGAAAACCUAUUUUUCUGUGGCAAGAAAACAAAGGAGUAAAAAAGGAAAACAAGGACAAGUCAUCUGCCAGUCAAAGAAGGGGCGCGACCAUUAACGUGGAUGUUAUACCUCCGAGAUCACGAGUCCCCAGCUAACGAAAAAAACCGACCCAAACGAACACCUAACCCUACCCUAGACCCGAGCACCUACGCUGCGCCUCGGGAUGCGGUCACCCUUGGGGUCGUUCUAAGCCCUUUGACCGGACACGCGCAUCCAAACCGCUGUCGCUGCAUUUGUUUCAAAUUUUCAAUAUACAAUUUUAAAAUUAUUUUUUUUUUCCAUUUCAUUUAUUUUAUUUGAAAAUAAAUUUAGCUGGAAAUGUAAAUUAACUAUGAUUCGAACUUGGAUCUCGGGUACCAACCAUUAAGUUUUUUUGCCACUUGCGCUAGGAACGGUCGAUAAUUUUAAGGAGAUAUUUGCGCGUUGCAACGGAUCAAUUAUACAGCAAAUAAAUAUAAAAGACUGAAGAAAGAAUAAAUAAUACAAGAAUGUAAGAAGCCAAAGAAUAAAAAAAUAAAAAUAGAAAAAGCUGAAAAAGAUGAAGUAGCAGUUACCGUAAAAUAUGAAAAAAAAAUGUAAGAAGAAGAAAAAUAAGAAUAAAAGUUAUGUUGGCUUAAAUGAGUCAGCAUCCUGCCCUGUGGCGGGAGGCCAUGUGGGCCGAGUCAUGUUCGAAAUUGCGUGAGGCUAGGUUGGGCCGAGUCAUGUUUGAAGUUGCGUGAGGCCAGGUGGGCCGAGUCACAAUCGAGACCCGUGGGCGCUGUUUCUGUACGCUUUAAGUGAAUUGGUUGCGUAUUUUUAACAGCUCGAGCUUUUGGGAUUAAUGGUUAGCGCCAACGAUCCGACAAGUUAGGGGUGAAAAUGGUUAGGAUAAAUUUCGAUACCGGAUUCGAUAGAAUGUGAAUAUAAUUAUCAAAAUUUAGCAUUCGUUAUAUAUUCGAAUCUGAAUUCGUAUUUGAAAAAAAUUUAAAAAUAUAUAGAGGUGAAUAUGAUUUUUUCCUAAAUCUGAUUAUAUUUGACUGUUGUCAUUUCUAAGAGAUAAGAAGGAUAUUAAUAUAUAUUAUAGGAAGGAUAAAGUUAUUUUCUAUUGUGCUUUUCAUUUAUUUAAAUAUGAAUUUCAUAUUAAAAUUAUAUUUAUAAUUAUUAAAAUAUUAAAUUUUAUUGAAUAAAAUAUAGGUAUAUGAGGUUUAAACACAAAUAAGAA
rnacentral:lncRNA from 1 species